rnacentral:rRNA from 1 species
CAGCAGCCGCGGGAAUACGUAGGGUGCAAGCGUUAAUCGGAAUUACUGGGCGUAAAGCGUGCGCAGGCGGUUGUGUAAGUCUGAUGUGAAAGCCCCGGGCUCAACCUGGGAACUGCAUUGGAGACUGCACGGCUAGAGUGCGUCAGAGGGGGGUAGAAUUCCGCGUGUAGCAGUGAAAUGCGUAGAGAUGCGGAGGAAUACCGAUGGCGAAGGCAGCCCCCUGGGAUGACACUGACGCUCAUGCACGAAAGCGUGGGGAGCAAACAGGAUUAGAUACCCCGUAGUCCCUGUCUCUUAUACA